rnacentral:rRNA from 1 species
UCCGUAGGUGGAUAAUUAAGUCAGAGGUGAAAUCCUGCAGCUCAACUGUAGAAUUGCCUUUGGUACUGGUUAUCUUGAGUCAUUAUGAAGUGGUUAGAAUGUGUAGUGUAGCGGUGAAAUGCAUAGAUAUUACACAGAAUACCGAUUGCGAAGGCAGAUCACUAAUAAUGUACUGACACUGAGGGACGAAAGCGUGGGGAGCGAACAGGAUUAGAUACCCUGGUAGUCC